CCUACGGGAGGCAGCAGUAGGGAAUUUUUCGCAAUGGGGGCCAACCCUGACGAAGCAAUGCCGCGUGGAUGAAGAAGGCCUUCGGGUUGUAAAGUCCUUUCGUGGGGGACGAAAAGGCGGAUCUGAAUACGGUCUGCUAUUGACGUGAACCCAAGAAGAAGCACCGGCUAACUCCGUGCCAGCAGCCGCGGUAAUACGGAGGGUGCGAGCGUUAAUCGGAAUUACUGGGCGUAAAGGGCGCGUAGGCGGUGGGUUACGUCUGCCGUGAAAUCCCCGGGCUCAACCUGGGAAUGGCGGUGGAAACGGGCUGACUGGAGUAUGGGAGAGGGUGAUGGAAUUCCAGGUGUAGCGGUGAAAUGCGUAGAGAUCUGGAGGAACACCAGUGGCGAAGGCGGUCACCUGGCCCAAUACUGACGCUGAGGCGCGAAAGCGUGGGGAGCAAACAGGAUUAGAUACCCUGGUAGUCCACGCCCUAAACGAUGGAUACUGGAUGUUUGGCGCCUUAGGUGCUGAGUGUCGUAGCUAACGCGAUAAGUAUCCCGCCUGGGAAGUACGGCCGCAAGGUUAAAACUCAAAGGAAUUGACGGGG
rnacentral:rRNA from 1 species